rnacentral:rRNA from 1 species
CCGAAGCUGUGAACCGAAGCCCCAGUAAACGGCGGCCGUAACUAUAACGGUCCUAAGGUAGCGAAAUUCCUUGUCAGGUAAAUUCUGACCCGCACGAAUGGCGUAACGACUUGGGCGCUGUCUCAACGAGAGAUCCGGUGAAAUUUUAAUACCUGUGAAGAUGCAGGUUACCCGCGACAAGACGGAAAGACCCCAUGGAGCUUUACUGCAGCUUGAUAUUGGAUUUGGGUACGAUCUGUACAGGAUAGGUGGGAGCCUAAGAAGCAUGAGCGCCAGCUUGUGUGGAGGCGACGUUGGGAUACCACCCUGAUCGUAUCUAGGUUCUAACCUGGUACCGUAAUCCGGUACGGGGACAGUGUCAGGCGGGCAGUUUGACUGGGGCGGUCGCCUCCUAAAGAGUAACGGAGGCGCCCCAAGGUUCCCUCAGAAUGGUUGGAAAUCAUUCGAAGAGUGCAAAGGCAUAAGGGAGCUUGACUGCGAGACCUACAAGUCGAGCAGGGACGAAAGUCGGGCUUAGUGAUCCGGUGGUACCGCAUGGAAGGGCCAUCGCUCAACGGAUAAAAGCUACCCUGGGGAUAACAGGCUUAUCUCCCCCAAGAGUCCACAUCGACGGGGAGGUUUGGCACCUCGAUGUCGGCUCAUCGCAUCCUGGGGCUGAAGUAGGUCCCAAGGGUUGGGCUGUUCGCCCAUUAAAGCGGUACGCGAGCUGGGUUCAGAACGUCGUGAGACAGUUCGGUCCCUAUCUGUCGUGGGCGUAGGAAAUUUGAGAGGAGCUGUCCUUAGUACGAGAGGACCGGGAUGGACGUACCGCUGGUGCACCAGUUGUUCCGCCAGGAGCAUGGCUGGGUAGCUACGUACGGACGGGAUAAGCGCUGAAAGCAUCUAAGCGUGAAGCCCCCCUCAAGAUGAGAUUUCCCAGUAUGUAAGACCCCUUGAAGACGACGAGGUAGAUAGGUUGGAGGUGGAAGUGCAGCAAUGCAUGGAGCUGACCAAUACUAAUCGGUCGAGGGCUUAUCCAA